rnacentral:lncRNA from 13 species
CAAUUGAUGUAAGCGCUUUUAAUAAACCGUAGUGAACAUACUGACCUUUGGAAAGAGUUUUAAUAUUAUGAGUACCUGGUCUUGGGGUAUUCAAAAGUGUUCGCGCAUCCCGAGUUGACCUGCCAAAGGCAAAUGCAUAUUUUCCGGAUACGGGUUAAUUUGAAAUUCGUCAUCACUGACGAUGCUUGUGUCGUAUGAUGAAACAUUAUUAGAAUUGUGUGUGUCAGAGUGACUAAUAUCUGAUGAAGUAUCAUUGACCUGCAUCAUAGCUGAUUGAUCUUCAAUCUCAUCAAAUUCUAAGGCCGAUGAACAUGAUGGACCAGCGAUUAGAUUAUCGUCAACAUUUGGAAGUAAAACCGGCUAAGAAGCUACUUCACGAUCCAAAUUGUAAGAAAGUAAAGUUCGCCGGUUUUGUUGACGUUUCGACAAAUUAGAAAAUUUUUUGGGCAUUUUCAGAGACAAUAAAUAAUCUUAAUAAACGUAUAACAAAACCUACAAAA